UGUUUUUAGUUCUGAAAAAUUCAACAGACUCUGCGUCGUGCCUCUAAUAUCUUUGGAUAGCCUGUUCCACAGUUUGGGAACGUUAUAUAUGAGAUAUUGUGAGAUCUUUCUGCGUUUCAAACGACGCACGUGCGUCAGUAAAUGUCAUGGAAACAGAAUGAUCGUUACGUCAUGUAGGCCUAUAUAAAGGCCAACAGACCUGUCGCUUCUCAUUUUGCACCUGGACGAAGAAAUGACCUUUUGCACCUUGACCAAACUGAGGAAAGCAAACUUUUGCAAACUUCUAAAAAACGGAUCUUGUUUAAAAAAAAAAAUACUGCUUCAUGCAACUUUUGUGUAAAACCCGAAGAGUCUGAAUAGUCUUCAGUGGACUACCGGUCGCUGAGGACCACCUGCUGGUAGGACCUGCAACCCAGGUGGACGCUAACCCUGCAGGUUGGCCAGAGCGCGGGCUGCAUGAGACGCCUGCAUGACAUGAGGAGACUGCAUCAUCUCAGCCAGGACGGAUACCCAGCCUGAAUAUGACUUACCAGACUGGGAUAUGGCCUGGUGAACGCUCUCAUUGAGUGCCAAAUUUCCUAUGAUUCGAACAAUGUUCCUCUGUAUCUUCAGGGAGUCUCUACGAAGCUGAUAAACUCUCUGGAGGAGUUGCAGGCCCCCGUUGGAAACUAUAUGGUCACAGUGGCUCUGGACCUGCAGACAGGAUGUGUUUCACCAAAGAGAGCCAAUGCGGAUGGCCUGAAGAGCCAGAUGUGGCUCCGGAGCCUCACGUUGCCUACUCCUGCUCUAUAUAAUAGGCAGAUCUAUGGAGAUACUUACAUCCUGCAGGUCAGGAAGUGCAGGUGAGCGCAGGAAGAAUCGAAGGUCUACCUGAGGAGUUCGGGCCAGGCCCACUGCUGUUUGCUGGUUUAUCACCUGGGCUGCUGUCUGGUACUGGUAGUCUGCAUUAUUGACAACAGGAGUGAACUAAUACCACUUUACUUGUUGUAUAUACUGUUAACCUUAAGUGAUAUGCAACAACUUGUUUAUUUUACCGUGCCAGUGGUGAUUUUCUGCAAGCUCCUGAACAGCCUGUAGUCUGAUGGCUUUAUUGGGUGACUGUGUCCUCUUCAGUAGGACCCAUAACGCCACCUCAUGUGGGUCUGCAUCUACAUGGCUGAAGUGCUCUAAGACACAUAAGUAGAGAGCACACUCACUAGCUGAACAUUUUCAGAACAAAGAGCACUACAAAUAUUCCCAAAGACACCCAAUUGUGUUCCAACUGUAUCUACUGUGACUAACAACCAGCAUCUACAGUACCACUUUCAGAUUUCUACUACAGCUAGGAAGUUACAAACCUUGUGGUUUCAAACCUUUUGUCAUCAACUUGGCAGCUAUUCAUUUUCAAAAAGCCAAAAUGUAAUGAAUUAGAUGGAAUAUGAUGUCAUAAAAACAUGUCAUAUUUCUAUAAUUUGGGAAGAAAUCUGUGCAAUUACACAAAAAAGUGAUAAAUUGUUAAAUACAGAGCUAAUAAGGUGAAAAAAAACAAUAAUUUAUAUACUGUAUAUUACAGCCAAUGUCAAAAAAUGCACACUGACAUUAAUGCACCAGCGAGAAGACAUUGAAAACAGGAUGUGGAUGUACAAGGCAGGUGCUUCCUUUGGUCUUAAUGUGCCCACCCCACAUAAAAAUUAGUGGACAACUGUAGUUUUCUGGUUUGUGCUUUUUGAGGCAGCGACUUCUGCUUUCCAAUCUUAGAAACAUGCAGCAGUACAACAUUUUGCUAUAAAAUGAUUUUAGUUGAAGCUCUUGUUUUCUUACCGUCUAGUGAUUGCAGCAAAACCCGUGAUGACAUUUCCAGAAACCGCCUUGCUGCUUUAUGAAGUUCCCUUCUUGCUUUGUGUGUGAGCCCUAGACACAGUGUAAAAUAAAUAACUGCAGUGACCUAAAAAAAAACAACAUAAUUUCAUUUCUAUAAAAACACUAUUUAAGUUUCCCAGUUGGUAUCCCAGUAUAGGUUGUUAGGUGAACGUUUCCAUUAAAUAAGAGAACCUUGACCAGUGGAAGUGAGAUCAGUCAACAGAUUGACCCAAAUAUUCAGGCAGGAAAUAUAGUAGAGAGGGGAAGGAACGAUAGACAGGAAGUAAUGAUAACAGACAUCACUGGGC